rnacentral:rRNA from 1 species
UACAGAGGUCUCAAGCGUUGUUCGGAUUCAUUGGGCGUAAAGGGUGCGUAGGUGGCGCCGUAAGUCAGGUGUGAAAUUUCGGAGCUUAACUCCGAAACUGCAUUUGAUACUGCGGUGCUUGAGGACUGGAGAGGAGACUGGAAUUUACGGUGUAGCAGUGAAAUGCGUAGAUAUCGUAAGGAAGACCAGUGGCGAAGGCGGGUCUCGUGGACAGUUCCUGACACUGAGACACGAAGGCCAGGGGAGCAAACGGG